AUUGAACGCUGGCGGCAUGCCUUACACAUGCAAGUCGGACGGCAGCACGGGAGCAAUCCUGGUGGCGAGUGGCGAACGGGUGAGUAAUAUAUCGGAACGUGCCCAGUCGUGGGGGAUAACGUAGCGAAAGCUACGCUAAUACCGCAUACGAUCCAUGGAUGAAAGCGGGGGAUCGCAAGACCUCGCGCGAUUGGAGCGGCCGAUAUCAGAUUAGCUAGUUGGUGGGGUAAAAGCCCACCAAGGCGACGAUCUGUAGCUGGUCUGAGAGGACGACCAGCCACACUGGAACUGAGACACGGUCCAGACUCCUACGGGAGGCAGCAGUGGGGAAUUUUGGACAAUGGGCGAAAGCCUGAUCCAGCAAUGCCGCGUGCAGGACGAAGGCCUUCGGGUUGUAAACUGCUUUUGUACGGAGCGAAACGGUCCUCUCUAAUACAGUGGGCUAAUGACGGUACCGUAAGAAUAAGCACCGGCUAACUACGUGCCAGCCGCCGCAGUAA
rnacentral:rRNA from 1 species